AGUGAACGCUGGCGGUAGGCCUAACACAUGCAAGUCGAACGGCAGCACAGUAAGAGCUUGCUCUUACGGGUGGCGAGUGGCGGACGGGUGAGGAAUACAUCGGAAUCUACUUUUUCGUGGGGGAUAACGUAGGGAAACUUACGCUAAUACCGCAUACGACCUACGGGUGAAAGCAGGGGAUCUUCGGACCUUGCGCGAUUGAAUGAGCCGAUGUCGGAUUAGCUAGUUGGCGGGUAAAGGCCCACCAAGGCGACGAUCCGUAGCUGGUCUGAGAGGAUGAUCAGCCACACGGGAACUGAGACACGGUCCAGACUCCUACGGGAGGCAGCAGUGGGGAAUAUUGGACAAUGGGCGCAAGCCUGAUCCAGCCAUACCGCGUGGGUGAAGAAGGCCUUCGGGUUGUAAAGCCCUUUUGUUGGGAAAGAAAAGCAGCAGGUUAAUACCCCGCUGUUCUGACGGUACCCAAAGAAUAAGCACCGGCUAACUUCGUG
rnacentral:rRNA from 1 species